AGGCCCGUAGCUUAAUUGUGAAAGCCACGCUUUCGUCUUUUAGACAACUUGCACUAUGCAGGUUCAAAUCCUGCCGGGUCUA
rfam:Tulasnella calospora MTT 4182 unplaced genomic scaffold scaffold_145, whole genome shotgun sequence.